AAGCUUGGGGUCAUCCUAAAUUCCUGAAUUUUCUCUAUUUUGCAAGAUCCAGCCAAUAAUCAAGUCUAGUCACUUUUUCCUCCUCUGACUCCAUCAUUUAUGUUUUUCCUGGGAUCUCCAAAAGCUGAGAAAUACUCAAGGCUGGGUUUGCCUGAAGGAUACUGAAAUCUGCUCAUUUGAAUCUCCUUCCUCCACGAGUUUCUUAUCUGGUCCCAUCCACAAAUUCACAAAGAUGUUGCAUCUGGGGGGAAUCCCAAUUAGAUCUUACCCAUCCCAAUUUAGCCCGUUUCGAAAUCAUAGAUGCAGGAAGAAAACGGAACCACCAUCAUUAUAACUUGUAGUUUCUUGGUUUCUGUGUGACCUGUUACUUUUUCUGCUUACUCCUUCCUCUGUUUAACUCUACAUCGCUUCCCCUUUUUCCUAUAGACUGUUAUUUACCCUAUGGUUAUAGGCAAAUUGAUAUUUCAAAAGAAAGGAAAAGAGAAACAAAAGUUCUGCACCUUGUUCCUCCUUUAAGGACAACGUUUGCAAAAACAGUGACUUCUGAGCUGAGACCACGUGUUGGAGCAACUACCUCACGGGACCACUUUGCAGGACCGCAACAUCUGCUUGGGAUGGUCUGGGUUCAGCCUUAUGUGAUCAUCGUUCCUAAAAAUAGUUUCUUUUGUUUUGUUAAUAAAAUUAGAGAAUGCUGAUAAAGUUCUCUUAAAGGGUCAAAAGAGGAAAGCUCAUAAAUUACAGCAUUCCAUUAAUGAACAAAGCUACAAGAAUGCAGAUUGAGAAACAGCAAAAAUUACAGGUCACAAGCUCUGUGAUGUGAAAGAGUAGGAAGCUUCCAGCCUUUCCUCCACAGGCAAGAUGAAGAGCUGGAAAUGAACUCACCCUAAUCUCUAAAUUAACUUAGAUAAUGCCAGUUCCCAUAUAUCUUUUACUUAUCUCAGAUGAAAAUGAAAUUGAGGUGAAAGAAAGCCCAGGCAUGCUCUUCAGAAGCUCAAAGCAGAAGAAAAGUUGGUCAAAGA
rnacentral:lncRNA from 1 species